AUACGUAGGGGGCAAGCGUUGUCCGGAAUGAUUGGGCGUAAAGGGCGCGUAGGCGGCUUUGUAAGUCUGGAGUGAAAGUCCUGCUUUUAAGGUGGGAAUUGCUUUGGAUACUGUCGGGCUUGAGUGCAGGAGAGGUAAGUGGAAUUCCCGGUGUAGCGGUGAAAUGCGUAGAGAUCGGGAGGAACACCAGUGGCGAAGGCGACUUACUGGACUGUAACUGACGCUGAGUCACGAAAGCGUGGGUAGC
rnacentral:rRNA from 1 species